rnacentral:rRNA from 1 species
UACGUAGGGGGCAAGCGUUGUCCGGAAUCAUUGGGCGUAAAGCGCGUGUAGGCGGCCAGAAAAGUCCGCUGUGAAAACUCGAGGCUCAACUUCGAGCUGUCGGUGGAAACUUUCUGGCUAGAGUCCGGAAGAGGAGAAUGGAAUUCCUGGUGUAGCGGUGAAAUGCGCAGAUAUCAGGAGGAACACCGGUGGCGAAGGCGGAUCUCUGGGCCGAUACUGACGCUGAGGAGCGAAAGCGUGGGGAGCGAACAGG